rnacentral:rRNA from 1 species
UACGAAGGGGGCUAGCGUUGCUCGGAAUCACUGGGCGUAAAGGGUGCGUAGGCGGGUCUUUAAGUCAGGGGUGAAAUCCUGGAGCUCAACUCCAGAACUGCCUUUGAUACUGAAGAUCUUGAGUUCGGGAGAGGUGAGUGGAACUGCGAGUGUAGAGGUGAAAUUCGUAGAUAUUCGCAAGAACACCAGUGGCGAAGGCGGUUGCCUGGAGCUUUGCUGACGCUGAUGCGCGAAAGCGUGGGGAGCGAGUCCGG